rnacentral:ncRNA from 1 species
CCGUCACAACGGCUUCCUGACGUGACGGUGACAUUCCAAUGGAGCA